rnacentral:lncRNA from 1 species
UUAAAACAAACAACAACAAACAAGAGUGGUAGGCAACAUUUCUCGCUUCAGACAUUUUAAAACCUCCCUAAUGAGCAACUGCCUUUACCAAAGUCUCCUCUUCCUGGGGACCAGAAACUUCUCCCAUCCUGCUACUUGAAGUGUGGCCCCAGGACAAGUAGUACUGGCAUCACCUGGAGUCUGUUUGAAAUCCGGGCUCUUAAGCCGCAUUCCAGACCCACUUAACGUGGUGCCCAGGCACUACAGUUGUGAUGAGGCAAUUGCAACAUUUGAAAAGACCCCAGGGAGUUUGCAUUAAAUGCGUUUCACAAGAGUGAAUGAUGGAACAGAACACCAUGUACAAAGACACAGUCAUCCAACACCCAAGCACAAAUGGCACAAGUUAAACAUGUGACGGCUUGAUGUAUGACAGGAUUGGACCAGAUUAUCUCUACAAUUUCUUCCAGUGCAAACACUCUGUGAAUGAAGGCACUUGCCUUCUCUCUAAACUGGAAGCCUCUUGAGGGCAGGACUGCAUCUACCUCCUCUCUGUACCCCUGCAGCACCCAGUACAGUGCCCAGCAAUGGACUGGAACCAAACCAGCAGAGCAAAACCAGGUGAGAGGAUACCUUGAGGACACCUUCAGCAACCCAUCUGAAACUAGAUAGCUGUCCUCUGAAAGGCAGCUUUUAUAUAACUAAGAUCACAUUGCAAUGAUGCCAAAUGUCUGAGAAACUCUUGGAAUUACACAAGGAAUUUAAAAAUAUGCAAUAUCAUUUGAAAACCAGCAGGAUACAGAGGGACAGGAGAAACAGAAAGGAAGACAGUAGAAAAGAGGAAGAGUUCCCCAAUCAAAUGCUAUUUAUUAGGAUUUCCCUCUUAUCCAGUAGUUAAAUGAAAUUUCUACAUCAAAGAAAAUCUCUGAGCACUCAGUAAUUUGUCUCUCCAGGGAACGGGAAUUCAGGCGGCUUUUAAAAAUAUCAUGGGGCCCAGCUAAUGUCCAGAAGUCAUCAUUAGAGAGCUGGAGUAGGUUAGAAGGAUGAAGUUUCGUUUGUCAGCCUCCUCCUGGUUCUCUGUAAGAGCCAUCAGUGGAUCCCGCCUAGAAGGGCUUAGCCCUCUUGAAGGGAAAGGCGCCAGCUUUGGAGCCCAGCGGUUGUCUGGUGGAUUUUAUUAUUAGAUUGGAGGUUCCACACAAUGUAAUUAAAGCCCUAUGGCCAUAGCGGCACCAAUGUCACAGGCCUGACUUUUUCUAUUGCAGCUGAUAAAUCUGCAG